CCUGCGCAGGCUAUAUUCAAAUUCGUAAGGGCCCGCGGUAUCUUGACCGUGCAAAGGUAGCAUAAUAAUUAGUUUUUUGAUUGAAAGCUGGAAUGAAUGGUUGGACGAGAAAAUUACUGUCUCUGGUUAAUUUUAUAUAAAAUUUUAUUUUUAAGUUAAAAAGCUUAAAUAACUUUAAAAGACGAGAAGACCCUAUAGAGUUUAAUAUUUUUAAAGGAGUAUAGUGAUUUUAAGUAUUAAGGUUGAGCUUUUUUUUGAUUAUUUUAUUGGGGUGAUAGGAAGAUUUAAUUAACUCUUUUUAUAUUUGGAACAUUAGUAGUUGAUUUGUUGAUCCAUUUUUUAUGAUUACAAGAAUAAAUUACCUUAGGGAUAACAGCGUAAUCUUUUUAAAGAGUUCUUAUCGAAAUAAGGGGUUGCGACCUCGAUGUUGGAUUAAAGUUAAUUUUUGGUGUAGGAGCUGGAAUAUUGAGUCUGUUCGACUUUUAAAACUUUACAUGAUCUGAGUUUAGACCGGCGUGAGCCAGGUUGGUUUCUAUCUUUAUAAAUUUAAAGUAUUUUAGUACGAAAGGACCAAGUAUUUGAUAAAUUUAUUUUUAAAUUGGAUAAAGUUAAUGUUACUUUGGCAGAUUAGUGCAAUGGAUUUAGAAUCUUUUUAUGUAAAAGUUUUACAGGUAAUAAUUGUUUAUGUUUGAUUUUGUUUUAUUGUUUAUUAAUAUAUUAAUUUUGGUUGUUUCGCCUGUUUAACAAAAACAUCUGGGCNCCCUUAACGAAAAGUUUUAGGAUAUAUCAAAUUCGUAAGGA
rnacentral:rRNA from 1 species